UACAGAGGGGGCAAGCGUUGUUCGGAAUUACUGGGCGUAGAGGGCGCGUAGGCGGCCUGUUAAGUCGAACGUGAAAUCCCCGGGCUCAACCCGGGAACUGCGUCCGAUACUGGCAGGCUUGAAUUCGGGAGAGGGAUGUGGAAUUCCAGGUGUAGCGGUGAAAUGCGUAGAUAUCUGGAGGAACACCGGUGGCGAAGGCGGCAUCCUGGACCGAUAUUGACGCUGAGGCGCGAAAGCUAGGGGGAGCAAACAGG
rnacentral:rRNA from 1 species